rnacentral:rRNA from 1 species
UACGUAGGGGGCAAGCGUUGUCCGGAUUUAUUGGGCGUAAAGAGCGUGUAGGCGGCUUUACAGGUCCGUUGUGAAAACUCGAGGCUCAACCUCGAGACGCCGGUGGAAACCGUAAAGCUAGAGUCCGGAAGAGGAGAGUGGAAUUCCUGGUGUAGCGGUGAAAUGCGUAGAUAUCCGGAGGAACACCGGUGGCGAAGGCGGCUUCCUGGACCGACACUGACGCUGAGGCGCGAAAGCUAGGGGAGCAAACGGG